rnacentral:rRNA from 1 species
AUUGAACGCUGGCGGAAUGCUUUACACAUGCAAGUCGAGCGGCAGCGCGGGGCAACCUGGCGGCGAGCGGCGAACGGGUGAGUAAUGCAUCGGAACAUGUCCAUGUCGUGGGGGAUAGCCCGGCGAAAGCCGGAUUAAUACCGCAUACGCCCGAGAGGGGAAAGGUGGGGACGCAAGGCCUCACGCGAUUGGGUUGGCCGAUGUCCGAUUAGCUAGUUGGUGGGGUAACGGCCCGACCAUGGCGAUGAUCGGUAGCCGGCCUGAGAGGGUGUUCGGCCACACUGGGACUGAGACACUGCCCAGACUCCUACGGGAGGCUGCAGUCGCGAAUCAUUCACAAUGGGCGCAAGCCUGAUGAUGCCACGCCGCGUGCGGGAU